rnacentral:rRNA from 1 species
UACGUAGGGCGCAAGCGUUGUCCGGAAUUAUUGGGCGUAAAGAGCUCGUAGGCGGUCUGUCGCGUCCGUUGUGAAAACUCGAGGCUCAACCUCGGGCUUGCAGUGGAUACGGGCAGACUAGAGUGCGGUAGGGGAGACUGGAAUUCCUGGUGUAGCGGUGGAAUGCGCAGAUAUCAGGAGGAACACCGGUGGCGAAGGCGGUUCUCUGGGCAUGAUCUGACGCUGAGGAGCGAAAGUGUGGGGAGCGAACAGG